rnacentral:tRNA from 1 species
GCCCUGGUGGUGCUCAGUGGUUAGAGCAUCAGUCCACACACUGAAGGGUCCCGGGUUUGAUUCCUGGUCAAGGGCA